rnacentral:tRNA from 1 species
GCUCCGUUAGCUCAGCUGGUAGAGCAACUGACUCUUAAUCAGUGGGUCGGGGGUUCGAAUCCCUUACGGAGCACCA